GCCAGUCAGAAUUGUUUAUGUUUUCAAGAAUAUAUGUGUGUGUAGUGGAUGCAGUGAGAGUAUUUGAUUAGUGAAUACAGUAUGUGCGUGUUUGUGUAGUAGAUGCAGUGUGUGUGUUUGUGUAGUGUGUGUAUAUAGUGAAUGCAGUGAGUGUUUGUGUAGUGUGUAUAUAAUUAAUGCAGUGUGUUUGUGUAAUGUGUAUAUAGUGAAUGCAGUGUGUGU